AGACUGGCUAGCCAACAAGACCAGGGAUCCUCCUGUCUCUACCUCCCGGUGCUGAAAUAACAGGAUCCUGUGAUCUUUUCUCUACGUGGUGACAUCAUCUCCCUGGAACAACAGCCUAGAAGCAGUAGUGGUGGAAAGGGAAAAGGAAGAGAAGAAAAAUUCCUUAAAACAUGCCAGAAGAGGGCACCAGAUCUCAUUACAGAUGGUUGUUAAGCAACCUCUGGAAGAGCUGCCAGUGCUCUUAACCUCUUCAGCCAUCUCUUCAGCCCUUGUGUAAGUCUUUCUCUAAUCCUCUCAUUUACCUGACUGAACUGGUUCACAUUGGCUUUCAACAUAAGGGUGUUGUGGAAGCUAAGAAAAGUUCUGGACAAUGAGCUGAACAUGGGUUCCUGGUCUGGCAGUCUCUCAGGCAGGCUGGUGCUCUGUAGUAGAAAGAGACGCAUCCUCCCGGCUGCUGCCUGUGGAUUAGAGCCAGCUGCUAGCACCAUGUGCCAUCAUCAUGCACUAAGCUGAGCCGCACAGCGGCUGACACAGUGGUUUAAGAUUUGUCUCACGUGGUUAGAAAACUCUGCAGAGGCUUACUACUGCCAGGUCCAGACACAGAAAACCUCUAAAAAGGAAGAGUAUGUUUAAAAAUGUGCUUAGAUGCUGAAGAAAGAAAAGAAAAUGAGU